AAACACCUGUAAUUUCUCAAAUACGAGGGCUGGGCUGAAACGGUAGAGCUGUUUUGCAAAAGGGAAAAAAAGGUCUGAUGGGAAUCGUGUCUCGGACAUAGGAACAGCCCUGCUGCAUCGGGUCUAUGAAGUCCAGCACCCUGUUUCCCACACUGGCCUGCCAAAUGCCUCUGGGAAGCCCCCAGGCAGGAGAUGAAGUCAUGACCCCUCUCUCGCUGUUGCUCCCCUGGAAUAUAGAAAGCUGCCUUCUGCCGUGUCAGACCUCCUGGUCCAUCUCGCUCAAGAUUGUCUACCCAGACUGGCAGCGGCUUCUCCAAGGCUACAAGCAGGAGUCUCUCUCUCUCUCUCUCUCUCAGCCCUCUCUUGGAGAUGCUGCCAGGGCCGGUGUGUGGAUCCUUGCCUCUGAGGCUGGAGGUGGCCUUGUGGCUAAGAGCCAGUUCGAGACCUGUCUUCCAUGAGUUUGUCACAGCCCCUUUUAAAGCCGUCCAAGCUAGUGGCCAAGAAUUCCGUAGACGAUUGAUGUGCUGUGUGAAGAAGUCCUUCCUUCUGUUGGCCCUAAAUUUCCUGGCCAAGUCAUGGAAGGAGUGGGAUGCUCCAGGCAGUUUUAAACCCCAGGCGUCUAAAUAAGGCGCAGCCGCGGUCUCCUCCCUGCACCGACCUUGCGUUGCUAUGGAGACAAGGCGCGCGGGGGGGGGGGGUUCGGAAGCGCGCAUGCGUAAAGCUCAAGAGGGCGGCUGCAAACACGUCCAUCGUCCAGGCCGGUGUGUGUGGAGAAGCAGAAAGGGCGGGAGGCCCGAGAGGUUGCGCGCAUGCGCAAGAGGCCUUCGGGUGGCUCUGAGGGCGGGAGUGCUAACUCGCGAGGGCGUCGUCCCUCCGUCGCCGGAAGUCAGGAGCCGGUUCCGUUUCCGCUUCCGAGAAGCAGCUGUGUAAGAGAGGGCGCCGCGCGAGGAGGGCUCACCUCACAGAAGGACGGGGCCAGGCUAGAGGAGCCCAGAGUCCGUGUUUUAUGUUUUUCUUCACAACAACCCUGUGAGGUAGGUGAGGCCGAGAGAGUCGUGGCUGGCCCAGAGUCACCCAGCACAAGAAGAGCGGCUGAAGCUGUUUCCCAACAGACGUGCAGCUCUGAAGCCUCCAGAAUGCAGGGCGUGCUGAGGAGCUGCAGUCGGCUGGCCCAGGGGCGUGUAUGUUGGACACACCCCAGUUGUGGUCCAUGGGUUGCAGCAUCUGAGAGGGUCUUGCUGCGUUCCACACCGCUGAGGAAUACUACUGUCCGGUUGUGUGAGGCCGGGCAAGCCAAGGAUUAUAGCCUCCCCAACUCUAGCUGGAGUCGGGAAAUGCUGGAUCAGUUCCACAAAUUCAUGGAGAUGUCCAAAAAUGGGACGUGGAAGAAACUGCCUUCUUAUCGUAGCCUUGUGGAACAUGGCACAGGGAAGAAAAGGAAAGAGUCCAAGGAAGUAAACACCCGUCUCUUCCUCAGAAACUUUGAUACUGAAGGCGUGGGCUUUGAAUACGUGAUGUUUGUGAACCCGCUGGAGAAACGGAUGGUGUCUGUUUUCCAGCUAGGUCCUUACCUGGAGGGACCUCCAGGGCUUGCGCACGGCGGUUCCAUCGCCACCAUUCUCGACAGCACUCUCGGGGGCUGCGCCAUCACUAUUGUUGGCAAGGUGAUGACAGCAAACCUAAAUAUCAACUAUCGGAGUCCGGUCCCACUGCGCUCGGUGGUCCUGGUGGACUGCAAACUGGAGAGCAUAGAGGGGCGGAAGGUGCUUGUGUCCGGCCAGGUGCGGGGCACUGACGGGCAGACCCUUCAUGCAGAGGCUACAGGUAUCAAAAGUGUGCAGGAGAUAACCAGCAGACCUGGCGACACAUGACUGAAGUAGCAUGGUUCUCUUUCAUUUCUCGCCUUUUCCUGAGGGCUCAAAAAUUCUGCCAUCAUCCAGUUUUCACAGGUGAAGCCGUCCCCAUGGCGCCGGGCAUACUUGUAGAAGACACCAAUGAUGGUGCAGAUGCUGUCAAGAAGUUGGCCGAGCCUCAUGCUCAGUUGCUGCAGCUGUCUGUUCAUCACUGCAACAUGCUGGAAGUGGGCGCGGAAGACCAUGAGAUCUUCUUGUCCUGCAAGGAAGGGAAACCAAUGGGACAAAGGGGCUUCUUGCCACCCUACCAGGUGCGACCUUGACCUUCUGGACCCUGCCACUGUCCACACCCGGCACAGACUCCUCAUUCUGGCCUCGAACCUACAACCCCCCAUGGCUCUGCCCUCUGCCUCUGGACUGGCACCCCCAACCCGGCAACCCCCCCGAAGCAGGUCUCUUGCUCUCCACGAGGACUCCUCCCCUUCUCCCUCGCUGCCCCUUAGGCCUGGAGCUGCCACCCAGCCGGAAUUGGACCCUUCCCCCUCCUUUCCUCCCAGUCCUGCCUCAAAAUCCUUCCAUUCUGUGGAGGAAUAGAUGAUCCUUAAUGCCUCGGCGGGAGAUGGGCACCCAACUCCCAUCUCCACCUCUUCCUUCCUCUCCCACCCUUCCUCUUCCUCCGCUCCCCCUCCCUCGCCGCACUGUAGACUGUGAGCCAGAGGUGGGGAAAGUUGACCUUCCAUUUUGUUGUACUACAACUCCCAUCAUCCCUUGCCACAUUCACAGUUUGCUUUUGGUCAAAGGAGUUCAGGGUGGGGGUCACCUUUUUUCAGAUCCUCACAACCCCCCUGAGAGGUUGGUCAGGCUGUGGGACGAGGGACUGACCAGUCUCCCCUCGAGGGUCAUGGCCAAAUGGGGAUUCGAACCCAGACCCCCUGGAGUUGUAAUCAGGCAUCUCCUUCCCGAGCUUGCUCCCUGCCUCGGCUCCCCUUCUGAGCCUCCACAGCAGGGCUGGUCAAAUUUGGCUCUCCCGCAGACGUUGGCCCACAGCUCCCAUAAUCCCUGACCACUGUAGCUGGGGAUUAUGGGAGUUGUAGUCCUAAAACAGCUGGGGGGGGCAAUGUUGAGCAGGCCUGCUCUAGAGUCUCUCCCUGUCGUCGCUGUCGUCUGGGCCCUCAGAGCUGCAAAAGGGCCAUCGGGACGGAACGGGAAGAGGCCCCCGGGUGCUGCGCGAAGGAGACUUACGGUCCUCCACCUGCUUGUUCUGCAGUGCCAUCAGGUUCGCCAGGUUCUCUUCCACAUCGUGAAUACCUCGAGGAGGGGAAGCGGAGGGAUUCAGGGAGAGGCAGGAGGGGGAGAAGGAGCAGGUGGCGGAGAGGCAGGAGGGGGAGAGGGAGCGGGUGGCGGAGAGGCGGAGAUAUUCGGUGGAGGCCGAGGAGGAGGACCACACGAAGAUGGGGCGAGGAGGCUGGAGGGACGAGGCCUCUGGAUCGUGGCCUUGAGGGAGGUCUGCAAGAGAGGAGAAGCAGAAGGUGAUGGCUGGCCCCAGAGUCUGGCUUGCUCCCUCUGAAAACCACCCCCCCAUCGCCUGCCCUCCCUCCUCACCGGAUAGGGUCCGGGGGGAAGCCAAGUCAAUCUGGGGUGGGAAGCAAGAGCUUCUCCUGCCAACCCCCUGGAGCCCCUUCCUCCCCCCGCUGCCGGCUGCAGCCCUCACAACCCUCCUGCGGGGACAUUUCCCCUUGCAGAGGAGAGAGGCGAGGGAGAGCGGGAGACCCCCGCCCCCAGAAUGCUGUGCGGCCGCCUCUUGCUGCUGCUCACCUGCUUUAGCCGAGGAGUCCAGCCACCAGCCUGAUCCGCCUCUGCGGAGAAACACGCGCAAAUCCUUCCAGCAGCAGCAGCGCCGGCAGCCUCCUGCCCCGCCACUCCGGCUCGAAGCCGCCACGGAAGAAGGUCGGGGAAACGGCGGCUCUGAAUCCGCCCAGGCAGGCUUGGCAGCCGCGCGCCUCGUGGGGCCGGCGAUCUCGCUCUCACUCUUCUUUCUUCGCUCCUCCCCUCCGCUGCCUCUUCCUCCUCUCAGCUCCGCCUCCCAAUGCGCAGGAUUGGACCCUCCGGCCUUCCUCCUCCUCCUCCUCCUCCGGCCAUGCUGCCUUCUCGUCCCCGCCCCCAAAUCCACCCCGCCUCCCGGACCCAGCAGCAUCCCCAGCUCCUCUCGCUCAUUGGCUGAGCCAUCAAGGCCGCGCACGCGCACACACACACACAGAGUCACACACCCCUCCCGCAAAGCCUGGCCUCCUCUCUGGGGGGAGAUCUGCCCUUUAGGGGCUGGGUGGGGACUGUUAAUAGGAAUAGGGUCAGCGGGGCGCCAGUGUGGGUGCUGCAGCGGGGCGCGACCUCCCAGCCCUGCAGGCAGACGAGGAAGGAGCAGGGACAGAGUCGGAGGGUGGGGAGGCGGAGAAAUCAGUGGGGAAAGUGUGUGUGUGUGUUGCAAACAGCCAGAUGCGUUUUUUCAUGGGCGGGCAGCACCUUUUCUGCCCCAAGCAGGAAAGAUCCCUGGCUCCUCCAGGCUGCUUCUGAGGACCGGGAGAGAAGCUGGAGGAAGGGGAGAAAUCCGUCUCCUUCCCUUUGCAGCGGCUGCGAAUUCCCCGAUGGGUCGCAAAGGGGCUGCCCCCUACCUCCUCCUCCGCAUGCCGGCCUCCAGGGGAAAGGGAGGUCCAGGAGGGAGGUCAAGGGUUUCGACCUUUGCGGAGGCUGCUGCUGGGAGUUGGGCUUUGGGGUUGAGGGGAAAGGAGGAACCUCCUGAGCUGGCCGGACAAAGACACCCCCUGGCUCACCCCGAUGCGCCACUCAUGCUGGGCCUUGGACGUUGCGGCGGGGGGUGAUGGGGCUUGUAGUCCAGCCACAUCUGGGGACCCAGGUCUGCGGAGCCCUGCCACGUGUUAAACCCUCAAGACCUGCUGUCUGCCCGAGAACCCGUUUCUAAUCAGCUUAAGAGCCACUGCUGUGAGAGUGGAUACAGUUUCCCCCAUUCUUGCUGUAUUGCCGGCAACCUGGGAGAAGCCGCUGCCAGUCUGUGAAGACAAUACUGAGCUAGAUGGACCAGUGGUCUGACUCAGUAUAUGGCAGCUUCCUCUGUUCCUAUGCUCCCCCUUUGUUGUCUUUUCGGUUCAAAAAAGAGAAAGGGAUCUUUAGCCUUUCCUCAUUGGGAAGGUGCUGCAGCUCCUCCUGGAUCUCUUGGGAUGCUUUUUUCUGGACAUUUUUUCGUGCUCUAUUAUGUCUCCCCCCACCCCCCGCAUGCCCUGUUUUUUGAGAUGGGACCAUCAGAACGGGAUUUGUGCACAGGGAAGGAUUCAGGCAUGGGAUUCUGCCCAGACAGACCCUUCAUUCUGGAAUGGGAUGGAGAUGCUCAGGAUCAUCCAUUUCUCUGUCCUUCCUCUCCUCGUGUGGUCCAGAGCACCAUGUGGGUGCAGUUUGGAAGGCAGGCAGAGAAGGUCCAUCGGGCUCAGCAUUGUCGGCUGCUGCACAACUGAAGCCUUCUUGUUGGGUUUGGACUACAACUCCCAGCAUCCCCAGACACAUAAGCCAAUAGUCAGGGAUGAUGGGAGUUGCAGGCCAACCUCCGCAGGUCUUAAGCCGGAAGAGGCCAGAAGGACCCCUUAAAACCCAAACUGGAUCCCCAAAGGAGAGGGAUGGGUCAGAGACGAUGGAGAGCAAGAUUGGAGCUGCUUCAAGGUGCUCCUACCGACCGGUAGUAUUUCCAGUGCUCCCACCCAUGUCUUAGAGGCAAUUGGAUUCCAAGCUGCACAGACAGAAAGAGAGGUUUCCCCUUCCAGUGCCCAUACUGCAACCUUAGAUUAGAGGGGUCCUUCUUUAAAUUUUUCGGACAUGGCAUUAUUGCCUAUCUGGUCCUGAGAAGAAAACCUGGCUGUGCUUAAGGCAGUCACAGUUCGUGAAGAAACUUGUGUAGUCCAUCAGCUUGCAAGCAAACGUUCUGUGAGCUUAGUAAAGCUAUUGAGAAACAGCUUUGGAAAUUAAAGGUCCCAUGCCCUUGUGAAAAUCAGAAACAGGUUGAAAUCAUGCUCUCCCCCCCCCCCCCCCGACUUUUGUUUGUGGGUUUGUUUGCAUAGGAGAUCAGGAAAUGUCUGGAUUCCCUCUGUUAUUCUCCGUGGUGCAUUGGAUGGAGGAAAGGCUUUGUCUGCAAUGGGUUUGGACUCACUUGAUACAUUGAGCUGUUUUGCAAAUUCAAAGCUGCAUCUGACAGAUUCCUGUAUGUGCAAGUGAGGAACUGAUGUCGUGUAGGAAGCAGGAAAGGGAGUCUUUUAUGAGCCCGCGGGACCUGAGUUCCAGUCCUGCUUUGCUUCCUUUGUGGGUUGUGUGGUGGGUAACACUCAUCAUUCCAUACCACCCAACGGACUUUAGUGUCCCUAGGACCCACCCAUGCUGGACAAUGGGGUGAUCUGAGUUCCCCAUAGGCGAAUCGUGAGACUCCCCUCUGGAUUUUUGAUUUGUCGAACUGGCUAGCCAUGGCCGGCCAGCUUGACAACUGAUUCCAAUUUUUGUGAUUUGAUUUAAGGUUGAAUCAAAUUGUGAAAAUGGACUCAUGCACAACUGUCCUGUCUUGGCCCUGAGUGCAUCUCCCAAGAGAGAUGUUUCUGCAGCUGGGCUGGACCCAGAGACCUUUUCACCCCACUGUGCCCAAAGAAAACUCAAGAGCAGCCUAUCUUUCUCUUCUUGAAAAACAAACACAGAGCUUUAUGUUUUUGCACUAAAUUUGGUAAACAAAUGACAAUAAAAUAAAUAAAUUCAUAAACAACAA